UACGGAGGGGGCUAGCGUUGUUCGGAAUUACUGGGCGUAAAGCGCACGUAGGCGGCUUUGUAAGUUAGAGGUGAAAGCCUGGGGCUCAACUCCGGAAUUGCCUUUAAGACUGCAUCGCUAGAAUUGUGGAGAGGUGAGUGGAAUUCCGAGUGUAGAGGUGAAAUUCGUAGAUAUUCGGAAGAACACCAGUGGCGAAGGCGACUCACUGGACACAUAUUGACGCUGAGGUGCGAAAGCGUGGGGAGCAAACAGG
rnacentral:rRNA from 1 species